rnacentral:rRNA from 1 species
GACGAACGCUGGCGGCGUGCCUAAUACAUGCAAGUAGAACGCUGAAGAGAGGAGCUUACUCUUCUUGGAUGAGUUGCGAACGGGUGAGUAACGCGUAGGUAACCUGCCUUGUAGCGGGGGAUAACUAUUGGAAACGAUAGCUAAUACCGCAUAACAAUGGAUGACACAUGUCAUUUAUUUGAAGGGGCAAUUGCUCCACUACAAGAUGGACCUGCGUUGUAUUAGCUAGUAGGUGAGGUAAUGGCUCACCUAGGCGACGAUACAUAGCCGACCUGAGAGGGUGAUCGGCCACACUGGGACUGAGACACGGCCCAGACUCCUACGGGAGGCAGCAGUAGGGAAUCUUCGGCAAUGGGGGCAACCCUGACCGAGCAACGCCGCGUGAGUGAAGAAGGUUGUCGGAUCGUAAAGCUCUGUUGUAAGUCAAGAACGGGUGUGAGAGUGGAAAGUUCACACUGUGACGGUAGCUUACCAGAAAGGGACGGCUAACUACGUG